GACGAACGCUGGCGGCGUGCCUAAUACAUGCAAGUAGAACGCUGAAGGAGGAGCUUUCUUCUCUGUAUGAGUUGCGAACGGGUGAGUAACGCGCAGGUAACCUGCCUGGUAGCGGGGGAUAACUAUUAGAAACGAUAGCUAACACCUCAUAAUAGUGGAUGUCUCAUGACAUUUGCUUAAAAUGUGCAAUUGCAUCACUACCUGAUGGACCUGCGUUGUAUUAGCUAGUUGGUGAGGUAACGGCUCACCAAGGCAACGAUACGUAGCCGGCCUGAGAGGGUGAUCGGCCACACUGGGACUGAGACACGGCCCAGACUCCUACGGGAGGCAGCAGUAGGGAAUCUUCGGCAAUGGACGGAAGUCUGACCGAGCAACGCCGCGUGAGUGAAGAAGGUUUUCGGGUCGUAAAGCUCUGUUGUAAGGGAAGAACGGGUGUGAGAGUGGAAAGUUCACGCUGUGACGGUAUCUUACCAGAAAGGGACGGCUAACUACGUG
rnacentral:rRNA from 1 species